UCCGGGCAAAACUUCCCCCAUAGCACACUGUAUGGCGUAUGCCCGUCUUCAUUAGCCCAGCUUGGAACAGAACAGUAGGACGUUAAACCCCAUUUGAUUUCAGUCAGUAUUUAAAUAACUCUUUAUCUAGCUUUGUUAUGGCUAUAUCGGGGUGUUUACUGUACGUAUGGCGUACGCCGGUGGGGUUACCGUAUCAAAGCAAAUCAAACAAUUUGGCGUGGGAUAAUAUUAUAAUAGUAUUAUAGUCUUUAACGGCACAUCACGUGACGUCGACUAUUUUACAAUUAUUUAGAUCAUAGACGCUAUUUUGACCUCACCUAAUACCCCGUUCAGACGCUUAUUUUUAAACCAGUUCAAAAUCGCCGGGGUUUUUAAGACAGCGUCGUGUUGCGUUCACACGUACUAUAAGUCAAACCAGUUUAACUAUUCUGACCUCUUCGGUCGGAGGUUAGAGUUAACUACGCAUGCGUACAUGCCAUUUCCUGGUAGAAUAUGUAAACAUCCUGUGAAAAAAAAUCCGCGAAAUUUGUUUCUCUUACUCGCGGAUAGUUUAUACACAUUUCCUAGAAAUGAAUACUAAUGCUUUGAGACAUAGAAUUAAACAGUUUAGACAACGACAGAGUCAACAAAGGUACUUCUUUCUGAUGCUAAUGAGUGGCACUUCUGUGAUAUUCAUGCCAACCAACAGGAGAAUAUGGUCACGGUAUCACAGUGACAAUUGGUGGAAUCACGCAUACAGCUUUUAUGAUGAUAUACAGUAUUUGGAAAACUUCAGAAUGUCAAAAUGUACAUUUGAAUAUCUGUGCAGAAUUUUGAGACCAUUUCUUGAGAAACAAGUAACAAGUAUGAGGGAACCAAUAUCUGUUGAGCGACAGGUUGGCAUAAGUUUAUGGGUUUUAGGGACCAAUGCUGAGUACAGAACUGUGGCUGCAUUAUUUGGGGUUGGCCGGUCAACCGUGUGUUCAAUUAUACACAUAUUUUGUGAGUCCCUGAUUUCGAUCAAGGACAAAUUCAUUAAAUUUCCAUCAGGUGAAGAACUGAAUAGAGUUGUAAAUGGGUAUCGGUCAAAAUGGGGAUUUCCAAAUGCAGGUGGAGCAAUAGAUGGCAGUCAUAUUCCUAUAUUAGGACCGAGCAUGAACCAUGCUGACUUCCAUAACAGAAAAGGGUGGUAUUCCAUCAUUGUUCAAGCAGUUGUGAAUGAUCGUUAUGAAUUCAGACCUAAAUAUCGGGUGGCCAGGAAGUGUUCAUGAUGCACGAGUCUAUGCAAACUCCAAAAUAUAUGAAAAAGGGCUGUCUGGGACAUUAUUUUCCGGCAAGAUGAUUGAUGUCAAUAAUGUGCGCCUGCCUAUCGUCUUGUUAGGUGAUCCGGCUUAUCCAUUAUCCAACUUUCUAAUGAAAGCAUACACAGACAAUGGACACCUGACCCAAAAACAAAAGACAUUUAAUUAUAAGCUAAGUAGUUCACGCAUGACGGUAGAAAAUUCCUUUGGUCGCCUAAAAGGUCGCUGGCGCUGCUUAUUAAAGCGAUUGGAUAUGAAUGUUGACAAGGUCCCCAAUAUUAUUAUGACCUGUUGCAUACUUCAUAACAUAUGCGAACAAGCAAAAGACCCAUUUAGGGUUGAAUGGCUAGAGGAUGUAGCAAAGGGAGAAAACCAAAUGCCUCAGCCAAAUCAAAGUAACGAAGAGGCAAUCAAUGCAGACUGCACUAACAUUAGAAAUAUCCUGGCUGAAUACUUCCAGGAAUAAUUUAAUCUUACAAAACAAAUAAUUAAGAAAGUAAUAAUUGGCCAUACUGUUACAAACACUCACUACAAAGAAUUUCUAUGUGUAUAUGCCAUCUUUUGUUUACUUUUAUUGUUUCAUUUUGUGUGUUUGCAGAAAACUAAAAAAUGGUCAAACUAAAUUGGUUUAUUUUCAUAAUAAAAAUCAUACAACAGAAAAAUAACUGAUAAUCUUAUAACACAGUGGGUCUAUUAUAACUAUAUAUGUGAUCAGCUCUGGCCAAAUGGUUGCAAUGGAGUUCAAUUUGUUUCCAAAAUUUUCAAUCUCUUCUUUCUUAAAAGUAAUAUUAUGGUACAUUCAAAUUUAAAUAUUCCAAGCAUAUUUCAAAGUCACAUACUAAUUUAAAGGUAUUUGGAUACAGAAUUUAAAUUGACACCUUUUGGCAUCUUGAUUUUUGAUCCAUGCAUCUCAUUAAGCCAGAGUUGGAUUAUAUAAUAAGAGGUCCAAUUGUCAUCCAUCAUUGAAGAAGUGUAUGUAAUUAAAAAUAUACAGUGGACUCUUUCACUUUCAACAUUGUACAGGACCGAUACAAUGACGGAAUACUUAAUUGUCUCAAAACCGCAAGUAUUAUUGUACCUCGAAUACCAAAGUAUUAUUUUAAUGCACCUUCGAAUACCCAGAACUUAAAAAUAUGAUAAACCUUUCUGUACAUUUAAAACUUUAUUAUAUAAAAUUAUUAUGUUUUUACUUUGGGUGCGUACAAAACACUUGUGCGUCGUUAUGAACAAAAUAUUAUAAAGAUAGUGAUUCUUCAUCUCAGCAAUUUAUAUUUAAUGUUGCUGUAUUUGACGUGAAAAAAUCAAAUGAAAUACCAAGCGCUCUCUUACAAGCAAUUAUAAAAUUAUCAAGGUUUUAUUAACAAAGACUGACACAUACUUUAAGCUCACCGAUAAUUGAUUGCUUGUCGGUUAACACCCACUGAUUGAAGGCCGGAUUAUCCAAUGUUAAUUCAACGGAAAUCGUGUAACGCCCCCAAAUUGGUCUAAUAAUUCGGAAUAUUCCGAGUCCACUGUACAAGCCUACACUAUAAAGUUAUUGAUCAAUUUUUAAUUUAUGUCUUUCAAUUAAUGUAUUAAAUAAAAGAGAAUUUACCAUUUUUGAAAACAUAACAGACUGUUUUGUUCUUAUUAGGGGCUUAUCAAUUGACUUACAAAGAAGAAAA